rnacentral:miRNA from 1 species
UAGGGCAAAGUUAUCACCGAUUA